rnacentral:rRNA from 1 species
CCUACGGGUGGCAGCAGUGGGGAAUAUUGCUCAAUGGGGGAAACCCUGAUGCAGCGACGCCGCGUGAAGGAAGAAGGAUUUCGGUAUGUAAACUCCUAUUUGCAGGGAAGAUAAUGACGGUACCUGACUAAGAAGCACCGGCUAACUACGUGCCAGCAUCCGCGGUAAUACGGAGGGGGCAAGCGUUACUCGGAAUUACUGGGCGUAAAGGGAGCGUAGGCGGGUUAGCAAGUCAGACGUGAAAGCCUAUGGCUUAACCCUAGGACUGCAUUUGAAACUGUUGUACUAGAUUGGGGGAGAGGUAAGUGGAAUGCUUGGUGUAGCGGUGAAAUGCGUAGAUAUUAAGAGGAACACCAAUUGCGAAGGCGGCUUACUGGACCAUAACUGACGCUGAGGCACGAAAGCGUGGGGAGCAAACAGGAUUAGAUACCCUAGUAGUC